CUAUGCGCCUUGCCAGCCCGCUCAGAAACUCAAAGGAAUUGACGGGGCCCGCACAAGCGGAGGAGCAUGUGGUUUAAUUCGAUGAUACGCGAGGAACCUUACCUGGGCUUAAAUGCUUAAUGACGUACUGGGAAACUGGUAUUUCUUCGGACAUUUUGCAAGGUGCUGCAUGGUUGUCGUCAGCUCGUGCCGUGAGGUGUCGGGUUAAGUCCCAUAACGAGCGCAACCCCUAUUGUUAGUUGCCAUCAGGUCAUGCUGGGGACUCUAACAAAACUGCCCGCGUAAGCGUGGAGGAAGGUGGGGAUGACGUCAAAUCAGCACGGCCCUUACGUCCAGGGCUACACACGUGCUACAAUGGCCGGUACAGAGGGCAGCCACUUGGUGACAAGGAGCAAAUCUCAAAAGCCGGUCUCAGUUCGGAUCGGAGUCUGCAACUCGACUCCGUGAAGUUGGAUUCGCUAGUAAUCGUAGAUCAGCAAUGCUACGGUGAAUACGUUCCCGGGCCUU
rnacentral:rRNA from 1 species